UACAGAGGGUGCGAGCGUUAAUCGGAAUUACUGGGCGUAAAGCGUGCGCAGGCGGUUGUGCAAGACAGAUGUGAAAUCCCCGGGCUUAACCUGGGAACUGCAUUUGUGGCUGCACGGCUAGAGUACGGCAGAGGGGGAUGGAAUUCCGCGUGUAGCAGUGAAAUGCGUAGAUAUGCGGAGGAACACCGAUGGCGAAGGCAGUCCCCUGGGCCUGUACUGACGCUCAUGCACGAAAGCGUGGGGAGCAAACAGG
rnacentral:rRNA from 1 species